UACGUAGGGUGCAAGCGUUGUCCGGAAUUAUUGGGCGUAAAGAGCUCGUAGGCGGUCUGUCGCGUCGGCUGUGAAAACCCGGAGCUCAACUCCGGGCCUGCAGUCGAUACGGGCAAACUAGAGUGUUGCAGGGGAGACUGGAAUUCCUGGUGUAGCGGUGAAAUGCGCAGAUAUCAGGAGGAACACCGGUGGCGAAGGCGGGUCUCUGGGCAACAACUGACGCUGGAGGAAGCGAAAGCGUGGGGAGCGAACAGG
rnacentral:rRNA from 1 species